CUUUAAUCAAACUGACAGCAUCAUCAUCAUCAUCAUCAUCUUCAUCAUAAACAUCAGAAUGCAGUAUUUGGUGUUCAUCAUGUUUUGGUUAUCUUGUGCAGAUUGUACCAAGGCAUUUGAGGACAAUACUCAAAACCAGAUGAACAGAAAUGUUUCAAAGGGAGAGAAUGUUAUUGUACACUGUGAUGGAAAUCGGACUAGUCAAUCUGUAGAUAUUGGCUGGCGUAAAGACAAGAUUCUUCUUUUUAAUUACAGCCCAGUAAUAAACCAAAUUGUGAUGAACUACACAUCAGGCAGGAUGCAUGUUGACCCACAAAAUCCAAGAAAACUACAGAUAUCUGAUGUACAGCCUUCAGAUGCAGGAUUAUACUCAUGUUUCCCAUUCGACAAGGAGUGGAUAUUGACUAUAGCAGCUUUUACCAAUUCAGACAGAGAAAUACAACAAGACAAUAUAUGGCCAUUCUACAUAGUUUUCUCAGUAAGCACAAUGUGUGUCACAGUGUGUCUCUUCUGUGGCAUGUGUCUUCACAGGUGAGAGACCAGCAGAUAUUUUAUAAAAAGUUUACCGUUUUUUC